AGGCGCGUAGCUCAGCUGGUUAGAGCACCACCUUGACAUGCUGGGGGCCGUUGGUUCGAGUCCAAUCGCGCCUACCA
rnacentral:tRNA from 1 species